AUAAGACGGUUGAUAUCGUUGAAAGCUACAACAAUCUCGAGGACAAGGCUGAUCCCACAGGGAACUAUUCGCUAAGUGACUAACUAGCCACCGUGGUAACACGGUAUACAUAUCUCUCUGGUUGGUUCGACCAACAAGAAGUCAGCCAACGUGAGAGCACGAACGCAGAGGAGCGCUAUCUCAUCGUGGCCGCUUGCUCAGCGGUAACGCGAGACCUCCGUGGUAAUAAGACCUGCCCUGGUAAUUAUUACAUUCCCUUCGUGUGAGACGUAUAUACGUAAGGUAGAUUCGCCGUGAGAUGGGAGGAAGUGACGCGGUUCAACCGGAACGUGAAUUAUCGCGUCCCUAAACGACAUCCUACCAGAAAACUGCCACCUUUAUCGUCUAAUUAAUCGUUAUUUAUAUCAAUCAAUUUGAUAACCGGUAUUUAUUUACACGCGAUCUGAAAUGAUGUAUAUACGUAGCGAUGUAAGAUCGUCGACGACAAUUUGCGCGUCGUUUAUUGGAUGAAUAUCGAAGGACGAUCGAUGGUAGUGUUAUAAUUUCGCGGACGGAAACGAAGUGAAAUAUGUGAUCGGUGCACAUCGAACCGUAAGAAGGGCGAUCAUCGAGAGGAAUGCGACGUAAGCCCGAGGCUGCGAACGAAAACUCGUGUAUAUCUCGCUCCGAAUGAGGAAGACGCAUCGCAGCCGUUUUCUAUCCUGCAGGAAUUCCAGAAUCAGGCCAGAGUGAGCAGCGAGCGGCUGUUAUCGCGACCGACACCGAAGACGGAGCGCUUCUCCGAGAGAAUAAAAGCCGGCGGAACUCGGACGAGCACGGGACGCACAAAUGAAAUAUUCCUGGCAUCUGCGCGUAGACUCUGCGCCUCCAAUUUAUUUAAAAAAGAAGCGAACGAAGAAGGAAGAAGGGAAAAGGAUUAGAUUUAUUCUGAAUGCCAGACACGAGAGAGGAUAAAAGGCUGGCAUCGCUAUGGUCUGCACAUGACUCGCUCUUUUCGAAAAGAAUGCACCGAUCGGUUACAUAAAAACUUGGAAUCCGCGGCUGUUGUGAACCGUCGUUCGAACGUUUAAAAUGUUUCUACCGUGAAUCGCGAAGACGACCGGGUUACCAGGGGAAAGAGGAAGAGGAGGAGGCAGACGAGGAAAAGGAAAACGUGGAAAGGCGAGCGCUCGCGAUCGAUCGUGCUCGAAACACUUUCACGGCGAAAAGGACGCGGAAGUAGAUAAGGACGAAACGUGUCAAAAGGAAGGCGCGAAUAACCGAGUCACCAGCUCACGGACCUCGACAGCUGUGGGUUUUCUGGCUAGUCAAUGCAGCGCGCCACAGACAAUGCUCCAUAGAAAUCGCCAGAUGCAUCUACAAGUGCUACCGUUUCAGAGGAAAAUGCGACAAUGACAUCGAAAUGCAUCGAACGACAUUCCUAUCGGGCACCGGAAUUGCGUACGUGGUUCGCCUAUCAGACGCCACCUUGCCAUUCACGAUCAAUCUAAUCGCUGAACGCGUUUUGUUUUUCAAAACUUCGAAAGCGUACUUUCCAUCUCGGAUCGCGAAUUAAUAUUCCCUGUUGGAGAAGUUCAAUGAAUAUUCCUUAUAUUGGAAAAGUUGAGAGUUGAGAAAGUUACGUAGAAUGUGAUCGUUUGAAAAAUCGUACAGAGUGAUAAUAAAUGCUUCAGAAUCACGACGACGUGCUUAAGCUACUCUAAAAUGGAAAACUUAGCGUUCUGCAUGAAAUUACGCGGUAUACACGUUUUCGCGAGUUGAAAGUGGCUCGUUUCCCGCGCACAAUCGAACAUGUUGACAUUGGCAGUCGCCGCAUAAAUCCUGCGAGGCGUAUAAAUAGACCUCUCGUUCGCAAACGAAAGGUCGUUACCGAAUGCACCACGAGUUGCACCACAAGUUACAAUACACCGCUACGUCUGAUGGAUAAGACUUGAAAGGUGGAUGGCUCGAUGACUUAACUGGUAAAGUACGCGAAAACGCAAUUUACUUCGCUUGACUGGCUACCGCAAAUUGGGUCGCGUCGAAUUCCAAUGGCUCGCAAAAAUAUUUUAAUCGACAAAGACGAUUACAUCGUGAUAUUCUGUUAACAGGACGAACAAUAAUCCCCUCGCUCAAGGAAAAGGAAGAGAAGGAAAGGGAAGAAACCAGAAGAGAAGGAAGAAAAGGGGGAGGAGCGGAGAAAACGAGAGAGGCUUAUUACCUCAAAUCGCGGCUGCUCCAUCACCAGACGUUUAAUAACCCCAGACCGAUUACAACGGGGUUUAUCGAAAUGGAUUUUUUUUCUGUUAGCAUAGUUGGGAAUUGAAAGGCUCGUCUUGAGAACUACUCGAGUUCCGGGUCUCUGUGGCAAGAAGCAAGCGGUUUAUGCAAUAGCCGAUGCAACGGUAUCGAAAGAAGACAGGCGAAGGGACGGUGGGGUGAAAGGAAGUGGAAAGGGGCUCGAGAAGCCCUCCACUGUGUUCUUAGCAUUCCAUCGAGCAUCGUGGUUCGCGGUUAGACUAACCACCGAGCAAAAUGGUAUAGCAUUGGAAGAAAAGGGUUUUGAAAGAGGACGAAAAUGCGUCGAACCAUUCGUUUGGGCGUACACAGCACGCGCCAUUGACGCGAUAUUAAGCGUCGUGGAUUUCGCUGGAUUCUUGAAAUCCAAUUGCCAUUAAACGCGGAGACCACCGUUCUUCUAUCGAUCGUUUCUACCAGACAGUGCGUGAUCUCGUUAUCUAACGAUUCCGCGCGUUCAUCCGCGAGAUACCGUCGAUGAAAUUGACAGCGAAGCUUGUGAACCGCAGUACGUCUUCAUUCGUGAAACGGUUAAUCGCGCAAAUCUUGCACGCGAUUCCAAGAGUCGCGCGUUUCUUCGUCGUGCAUUACAAACAAUGUAUGUAUAUAACAAUACGUUUCCAAGUUCGCCACGUAUUUCCGCGACUACCGUCUCAACUCGGUGCGUAAUUUACAUCGUAUUAUUAAAAGACAUCGUAGGACGGAGAUUAGUGAGAAGGGAGAAGAAGGAGAAGCAACGGAAAAUCCGGUGGAACGAAUCGUUUCGCGGCAAGCCACGGCGACGUUAUGCGUAAACGGGUCGUGCUCGGUCGACACACGAUAAUUAAAUUUUCAGCGUGGAGGAAAGGUGAAAAGAGGCGGAAAGGCUCGGCGGCGGUAGGCGCAACUCGCGGACCAAUUAGGAAGAAUUUAACUUUUCCGCACAAUGGGAGGUAAAGGUAAAUCGAGCGUGGUGCGCGGUACACCGAGACCAGGCGUGGCGUUAACUUCGUUUUACGAGGUUCGUUUGUUUUCACCCCGGUCGGCAUACGCUAACUUCGAUAUCCUGGUGGAACUUUAAAUUCGAUUCUCGAACACGAAAGAUCGACGUGUCCGAGCCGAGAAGCGGGUCAAAUGCGCGCGAACCUUCGCGCCGGAACGAAUUGGCAUUGCUUAUAUAGAAGUUCUUUUGUCCAGAUUAGGAUCGAGAACUACUUUGCGUGUUGGCGAGUACGACCAGUACACCGCUCAAGGUGGGGUAAUAAUUAGAUUUUCAGGGACGGAGGAAGCCAAGAACGAAAUAGGUUUCGUAUUUCGUCUUCGCGUUGCAGCACCAUUCUCUCGUUGUCGAGAAAACAGAAAGAGAGAGAGGGGGGGAGAAGAGUACAGGAAAAUAAGUACAAAUCUGUUCUUCACCGAUGAUGGCGAUAGUCGAACAGCGAUCUUUUUUCUUCCUUCCUUCGGAGGCGGGAGCGGAAUGAUUAUGGAGAGCAUAGAGGAAAAUCAUUAUCGUGUGCAUCGUAGAGAGAAAGAGCCAGCCGGCGUGAUAAUUAAAUUUCCAUAGACGAAGACUACGGAUGAAAAGGUGGAGUGAGAGGAAAACCGUUGGCGGAUAGAAGAACCCGGGGGUAAAAGGUGGAAUUAUGGUAAACUAUGUUCCCCCCGUGACUUUCGUCGUUGUGAAUUAACUCACGCUACGCUGCGCACGUUCUGCCGCGUCCACUGGAUUUGCUUCUAUCUCGAACAAAAUAUCCGAACGUCCGAAGUCAAGCUCACGGGGACAUACCGUAAAAAAUUUCCAAUUAUCUCGCGGGAACCUCCGAUUUUUAUCGAACUAGUUUUGUGAAAAUUCUAAUUGACGUCAUUAUCGUUUACGCGAUACUAUCGACGAGACAUACGACACGAUGAACAAUACACCUUACAACAUAGCCGUUUCCUCUCUGUGACUCGCUGGGAGAGAGUCGACGAGGAGAACGCGGUGGUGGUUUCGUGAGUUGCUGCACAAAAGUGGGGCGGAAAAACGGCCACGAAGACGGGAACUAACAGAUAAGACAAAUAUAUUGGAGAAGUAUAACGUACGUGAUUAUGGCGAAGCAUCACAGUGCCGCACGCGAACACCGAGAGAUCUCGAUAAAUCGUGGUUGAAGCUAGCUCGGGUUGCUUUGAACAUUUACACGUUAAUAAAAUACGCUUCUCAUACCGUGAUAACAAAUUGCCCGAAUAUUAUAUGUGGCAGCGAUAAACGCAACACUGCAAAAUAUAAUAGAACAGAGAGACCGAAUGAGAACGAUCGAAAGAGAUUUUAAACGAAAUGUUCCUUCGCACAGACGUGUUCAAGGUUCGUUGAACGUUCGACGCGAUGUUACGAGUGACCGUAGAGAGUCGAGGACAGUUUUGGUUGCAAGGUGACGUCACAGUUGAGGAUGAAGCGUACCGACAAAGGAGAAGAGAACUUGCUGCUCGUUUCGAGUGGUAUUUCGUCGCCGCGCCACGUUCGAGAGUGCCCGCAUGUCGGAAGUAUCGAAGACAUUAGCAUAUCGCGUGCGCUUUCACCGAGGUUAUCAAAGACACUUUGGGUUUAUAUCACGGCACGACACGUGCACAUAAGAGCAAACAGGGUUCAGAUCUAUUUGUCAAAAUGCCAAUCAAAAAGACCCCCGCUGAUAAGAAGACGCUCAUCCGACACUAGCCAGCAAAUUGCAUAAUCAAAUUUAAUAUACCGAGAACGAUACGAAAAUUCUCGAGUUACAAACACGCUACUAUUCAGCCGACAGCCAGACGAGUCUAACCAACCACCGAACAUUAUCGAUCUCCCUGUAUUUCCAUUUCAUAAGAUUCCCUUGGCAGAAACGACGAGUUAUUCGACAUUGCCUCUAACGUAGUUAUCCCAUUAGGAGUAUAUUUUGCUCAAACACAAGAAUUCCGACACUUUGUCUGACUCGUAUCGUACGAAUUUUGGUGAACUGUACAAAUCCUAGAAAACUUGACAAUAAUAUAUUUCUUAAGUAUC